CAUUUUUUGAGGAACUUUGUACAAGAUUUCACAAUUUUUCGGAAUAAUGGAAAAUAGCCGGAAAUAAAAUCUUGCAUCCAAAGCUCUGGUAAUAACUACAAGGACUUCAAGUUACAAAACUUCAAUUCAAGUGACUGUUUAUUUUAGUCAUAAAGGACAUUAUUGUAAAUAUAUACAAUAAUAUAAAAUGAAUGUUAAAAAAUGAAGGCAGCUUGUUUCUACACAUAAUUAAAUUCUUCGUGGCUCUGAUCUUCUUUUGAUUUUGUGGAUUUUUAUGCCGAGUCUGGAGUUCUUCAUUACAUAUGUUACGUGAACUCUGUCCUUUGUACAAUUUGAAAUGAAUUCAUGGGUAAAAAUUACUGUAUUAUGUACAAUGGGUAAUUUUAAACAGGAGACAAAUAUAAUCGCUGAGCAGCUACAACGAUGAGGCUGCCAAAGAAUCAUUGUUGAGCAAGAGCAACAAAAUAAUGUAAGCGUUGAAGAUGCUUUUUGGUGCCCAAUAAUUAACGUUGAUUUUGACUGAGUGGUGCAAGAUCUAUUAAAAAUGUAAACUAAUAAUAAUUCGUCGGAUUCAAAUUUGGCGCCAACAUGGCCGCUUCGCUGUCAUUCGAAACUGUCAAAGUCAAAACGAAACCGGUGGCGCCGACGAAUCACGUGGCGACGCUACGAAAUCUCUUCUUUCGCCCGAUGACUGUCAACGAGUGCACAUGGAAUAUGAAAAGAGAGGUUAGCGGUUGAAUUAUUCGAAACUGAUAGUGUUUUAGUAUUUGUUUAGAGUGUUUUGUGUUUGUUAAAUUAUUUUGUGCUCGAGUUUAAAUCGUACGGUUGUGCUAUAACUUUCAAUAGUCAUUUUGUGCAACAAGUUUUAUGUUAAGUUACAAUUGUGACAUUCGGCGCCAUUAAAAGUGAAGUGACAUUACAAGGCAAGUGGUUCGCAAGAAUCGUCACGUACAUGUUGAUGAUAGGUUUGAGAAGAAUUCACUCGUUUGUUAUCUAUCAUUGAUAUAUAUUAUAGUUUGUUAUCUCUUGAUUCACAUAAUAAUUCGUUUUUAUAAUAAUGAUAAUGUAAUAUUAGUAUUAAAAAUAGAUUUGAUUAAGCUAUUUGUUGAAUUUAUUGUCGUAUUUUAACUUUUUUGAU